CUAACCAUGCAGUCGGACGGUAGCACAGAGAGCUUGCUCUUGGGUGACAAGUGGCGGACGGGUGAGUAAUGUNUGGGGAUCUGCCCGAUAGAGGGGGAUAACCACUGGAAACGGUGGCUAAUACCGCAUAACGUCGCAAGACCAAAGAGGGGGACCUUCGGGCCUCUCACUAUCGGAUGAACCCAGAUGGGAUUAGCUAGUAGGCGGGGUAAUGGCCCACCUAGGCGACGAUCCCUAGCUGGUCUGAGAGGAUGACCAGCCACACUGGAACUGAGACACGGUCCAGACUCCUACGGGAGGCAGCAGUGGGGAAUAUUGCACAAUGGGCGCAAGCCUGAUGCAGCCAUGCCGCGUGUAUGAAGAAGGCCUUCGGGUUGUAAAGUACUUUCAGCGGGGAGGAAGGCGAUGGGGUUAAUAACCCUGUCCAUUGACGUUACCCCCAAAAAAANCACCGGCUAACUCCGUGCCUUCAGCCGCGGUAAAACGGAGGGUGGANCGUUAAUC
rnacentral:rRNA from 1 species